UUUAAAUACAAUUGUGAGUUUAUAUGUCAAUUAUUUGACCGUCUAUCUUAUUUAAAACUUUUCUAUGAUUAGUAUUUUUUUUGUUGUUAUUAGAUGAUAAAAUAUAAAUAGUACUUUAUACGUUAUUCUUUUAUAAUUUUUUUAAAUAAAACGGAUUGUCACAUGUUAGACACGAAGACUGACUGCUGUACUUAAA
rfam:Oryza rufipogon genomic scaffold, chr10